rnacentral:rRNA from 1 species
UUUCUUUUAUUCGGUUUUCAAACCCCUUAACGUCGGAAGGGGAGUUGCUUCUCUCGUGGAGGGAGGGCUCGCGCUGUCGAUCCCAAGGAUCGGCGGCGGUGAUGACGGCCGGGAGGCGGCGCAGCGCGGGUGGGCCGACUCCGGGGCGGCGGGGCGGAGGCCAUGUCCUCGGGUCGUUGCGGAGGGCGGCAGCUCGUCGGCGAGGGUGGUCGUCGCGGAGGGAGUGACCUCGUCGGCGAGGGUGGUCGUCGCGGAGGGAGUGACCUCGUCGGCGAGGGGAGGUCAAGUAUCCGUCCCCUCUACGACUUUAAAUCCGCUUACAGUUCUUCGAGUUUACCUUCCGUUUUUUAAGCAUUUGCCCACCAUUUUUUUCUCCACAGGUCGUAACAUUCACUAGCCGCAUUUCGACACCACCUCUUGUAGUGAGUUCUUGAACGAUGUUUCAACAGGGGUUCGUAACAGAGAGAACGAAGUAAACUACCUCUGUUUUACGUAAAAUCUUCGUGCCCGUAUCAAGAACGUUUGUCAAGUAGACCACCACGUACACAAGACUGGAGCAGUCGAAACCAAUCGUGUAGUCUAUUCCUUGCGUACGAAUGGGGACGUGAAUUCUAUUUUAACGCGGAAGGGUUAUUGCUUCAACAACCACCGACCUAUUUUGCAAUAGCAAACGGAACGUCAUACCAACAAUAACUUUGAUCUAAGAGGGGACUAGAAGCACGUCGUACAGAGUUAUUCUGGCACGUUCAGCUCGGGGUAUCAGUCAAUAAUCGACAUUUCGUAACAAAGGUGAGUCCGUUUAAUUACCUAUGUGCACCCCUUGACUAACUACCAGGUUCACUUCAACUGUCACUUCCCAAAUACAAGAGUUGUACGUUUUAAUGAUACCUACCUUCACCACCAGGUGAACAACUAAAACUACCCUUGUAACAACCCUACUUACUGAUAGUACUAGUCUUUAAAUGAGCUAUACAUGGUUGUUUAUUUUAAGAACUUAGAAACUCCCUAUAAACCAAUACACACCUACUUUACCUUCUGAACACGUAAUGGAAAUUCGGGAAAGCGAAAUGUCUUCCAACGAGUAGAGCUCACGUUCCAUCGAACUUAGUUUGUACGAGAUGACCCUCUUCACCACUGUUUUCCUUUGCAUUUCUAAAACGUAGAAGGUAGGGAUUCGGUGUUCUUAAGUAGCUCCUACUUGUAUGUGGUCUUAAGUGACAACUACUUGUAUUCGUAGGCUGAUAAGUAGGAACCGGUAGGUCACUCAAGUGUUUCCACCAUUUACUAUAGAAUUCUAGACUACCAAUAGGGAACGGUCGAAUACGACUAGCUCCGUACGUAAACCUUCCACUAAAACUUCUCCUUAAACCGUAUCGGUACACCUCACUUGGGUGAUCUUUUCAACGAAGUUACUUCAGAACCCCACAACAGCGUGAACGAAGCAAGUUACCGUUCCUUUCUGUAAAACGAACGUGUCCACAUAGACAUCUGACAUUACUCAGUUGGAGUUAUUAAGACUGAAGUCGUUCAAACCAAUCUUGAAGACCACUACUUUUGUUCUAAUAACUAUUGAAUUCCUAACUUCAUACAGAAGGUUACCUUGUUGCAUAGUAUCCUUGUAAUGUUGUGAUACUAAAUUCGAUGUUACAACGACAACAGUCGUAGGGCUUAAGAACGUUUUUAGUACGCCGUUAUUAGAAACUUCUUGGAGUUUGAUUCCAUCAUCAUCGAGAACCCGCGCGGAAAUUUAGACCCUUGAACUACCGGUGUCUACCCAGUCACUGACCUCCUGCUUUGUUUAAACUAACGUCUCUCGAAUUCAAGAGGUGAACAUUUUAGUGAUUCCGACCUUAACCUCCAGGGGAGAAACUAAACUUACCCUUGAAACAACCGUACUUGAAGAUACUGAGCCUACCUUGAGGAAUGGAUGGUUCACUGUAUUAAGUCUUAGAUAACUCCUCAAAAAUACGUCUCGCCUGACGACGACGACCUUAAUGUCUCUUCGGAUUAAUAGCAACCGGCCAGGGAUUCGGUAUAACCAUAAUAGGCUCAGCAGUGGGCUUCGCACUCGGUUUUGGAUGUAAUAAACUAAUUCAAAACUUCACUUACAAUGAACAGUUGCACUAUUACCACAAGUCAGUCUUAACAGAACCUUUACACCACAAGAACAUAAAUAAACUUGAUUGAACACGGAUUCAUUGUACCGAUGAAUGUGACAACUACAAUAUUUACAGUUACGAACCCAUCUGUUUGCAAAUCCUACUAAACUAGAGAUUAAAAAAAAAUUUAUUAACGCGGCCUGUUUGUC